CCCAAGUGUAGCUGGGACUACAGGCACACGCCACCAUGCCCAGCUAAUUUUUUUUUUUAAUGUAGAGAUAAGAGUCUCACUAUGUUGCCCAGGUUGAUCUCAAACUCCUGGUCUCAAGAGAUCCUCCCACCUCAGCCUCCCAGAGUCAGAACCCAGAUCUUGGAGCUCUUCUUUUCUUCAUCUAUACCACUGCUUCCUUGCAGAUACCAGGUUUCGCCAUGUUGACCAGGCUGGUCUCAAACUCCCAACCUCAAGUGAUCCACCUGCCUUGGCCUCCCAAAGUGCUGGGAUUACAGGUGUGAGCCACCAUGCCCGGCCUAAAAGAUAAGAGAUCAAGACAUAUACAAAUUAGUCUUUGAAAGAUCUUUCACCUUGUUCAAAGUUAAGAUCCUGUGAACACCAGAAUUGUUCCGCGGCCUCUUCACUAUUGAUUGCAACAGUAUCAUUUACCUGAAGCUACACAGUGACCACAAAAACCAUGUCCAGGACACCAAAUUUCUACUGCGAACUCUAGGUCCUCACGAGCCUUUCUCUGCGAGUCCAAAAUUCAGCCACAUUUCCUAAGAGGCACCUGUACUUGUCUAUUUCAAUGCAGCCAGAAGCUGACGACGGCCCAGGAACCAGGACUGCUUUCAGGAGGCGCUCAGAAGGGCAGCAAAGUACCCUCUCAACAUUAGUAAAAUGAAACAAAAGUGUC
rnacentral:antisense_RNA from 1 species